UUUUACAUGGUUAUCUCUUAUACUAGAAAUAUUAUCUUAUUGUGAAUAGAUUCCAUGCAUUAUUCAUUAACCCUAAUAUUAAGGUUAUGUCUGGCCCAUACUGAACCCUCAGUGCUUAUAGAAUAAAUAAUGAGACAGGUUUUCAAUUAAUAAAUCUUGAGUAUAAAGUGAAGGUUUGAGAUAAAGUAAAGUAAGACCUGGUUAUAGAAAACACAAGAGAAAGUCACAGUGCAUCUAACAUCAACAAUGACCUUUGCUGAGCCUUUGAGUACAGGCCUCCAUAACUUUCUUCAAGCUAGAAAGAGAAUUUUUUCCAAUACAGAGGCAGAAUUAAGCCUAUUUAUUUAUCUGGAGUGAAGUAACAGCAAAGCCAUAGGUGAGAAGGAUGUAAAAACAGAAAGCUGUAAGCCUGAUUAGCCAAACUUCAGAAAUACAAGUUUCCCUUGCCUUGAAGAAGCACCAGGUAGCAGAAAGAGCCUGGGCUUUGGGGUUGUAAGAAACUUGAUUUACAGCCAUUUAUUAAGUAUAAGAUGUUAACUUUCAUUCUCUGAGUGUCAGUUUUCUUAAUUUUAAAAUAGGGAUAUUAAUUCUAAACACAGAGGGUUUGUGAGAAUUAGCUGAAGUUAUAUAGUGCAAAUGUGAUAGAAUGGGCUCUAGGAAUGUUUGUUUUCUUUUUACAUGCCAAACCCCAAUUACUUGCUGGUUUUUUUCUGAUUUCUUAGAAUUGUUUUGAGAAAAAAAAAUCAGGCCACAGAUAAAAAUUUGCAUCAAAGUGAUAUAGCAAGCAACAUUUUAAAGGUUGAACAUCAGUACUAAGAAUGAUACUGUCACCUAGAUAAUGUCAACCAGGAAAUACAUUUGAAAUGUUAGCCAUAAAUAUACAACGGUCACUCAACUACUGUGUAUUAUUUAAAAUUGAGUAACUAAUAACUUCAAAAAUAGGAUAAAGCUAUAUGGAGAUACCGAACCUCAAGAAAAUAGUUUGUUAGUAAAUUGUUUCAUCCACAGUAUAUACCUGGAGUUCUUAAAUAUGGCUGAUUUAACCUUUGUGGAACAUUUCAGAGAACAUUGCAGCAACAGUAGCUUAGUCAAAGGCAUUGUCUUUCUUCUCUGAAAUGAAAAAUGCUUUCUUUAAUUGUCAUCCCAAUUUUUCCCCACUCUAAUAACCUCACUCUGUAUUUCAGUCAGGGUUUGAUCAGAGAAACACAACCUAUAUGAAAUAUACAUUAAUAUAUUAUGGAUGUGCCUGACCUUACACAGUUGUGGAACAUAGUUAAACCAUUUUCUUCUGGGCUUGGUGGUGGAGACAGAAAUCCACAGGCAGGAGGCUGAGAGGCAGGAUGCGUAUGAAGUGAUGAAAGCCAUAACAAAUGGGAACCUGGGAAGCUGGAGCCUGUGAGGACAGGUUAAAUCAGGGAUAAUCUCUCACUGUCUUUACAUGUGGAUGAUGGGGAUAUUCUGCAAAAGAACCUAGUGCUCUUCAUCAUAGAGUGAAAUCUGCACCUAGCAUAGGAGCCAGCAGUGAAUGAGGACUGGCAGGAGCUAUAGGAACUGUAGGAGGGAUGCCACUGCAAGGUAGCGAGCCCUCAAUAACCAACAAUGUACAUACACCGCAGGGGGCCUCAUGCUUGCUUUGACCUUCAGAGUGCAAAAAGAACAUGGCUGAUGCUUCCUAUUAACAAGAACUAUACAGGGAAGAAAUUUUAUGAAACAUAGUUCCAACUGAGUUAAACUGAUAUACCACCAAUCCACCAUAUUCUAAAUGAUUGUAUAAAUUUCCUACUCUGUACUUUUAAUUUCUUAACCUAACUUGUUCUUACCUAUGUCCUUAAGAUAAAAUCUUCUCCCAGAUACCCUCUCUUACCAAAACUGAGCUCUAUUUGCUAUUCAAUAGAUAAAUGAAUGCAACUCAAUGCAUCAAUUAUCCAGGGCAAUGUUUAACUUUAUCUGUUUCAUAAUGGAUUUCCAGAACUAGUAAUCACACUUAACUCACACUGUCCAGGAGUAACUUGUUUCAAAUGAAUUUUGGUGUAAUGGCUUUCCCAUGUUACUUUGAAAUGCAGUCUUGCUAUUUUCUCAUUUUUCUUGCAGCUGAGUCUUUCAUUUGGUAAACGUAGACAGAUCUGUAUUAUACUGAAAACCUGAAAUGGACUAGUGAGGUAUUCUGGAUAGUGGAAAAUGAAUUUCUUAUUUAAAAUGAAAGAAACUUUCCCUGGUUCAGCUUUGAAGAACAUAGAAAGUCAUGUCAUUAGCAAUAAUUUACUCAUUUGUAUAUUUUACACAGAUUUAAUAAGUCUUUGCAUUAAACAUUGGCUUUCAUAUGGAGAUUAAAAGUGCUUUGUCAGAUUUGCAAGUAAAUGUGGAAAGCUUAAACUUGACCAACACACCAAGAAUAAAGGAAAAGUAAUACUGCUAUUCCCCCUUCUUCUAUUCUGGAGCCAAACACAUAGGAAACUGGUGCACUAAAGCAGCCAUGGUCAUGAUAAGCUGAUGAGAUGGGGGACUGAGGAGAAAGUAGACCCCAAGCCUGAAGAAAACGUGAUGCGACAUAUCUAGGCCAGAAAUUAAAUCCUGGUAGAUAAAGGGGAAGACGUAAAGAAGACAAGACAAGGGACUGAGGAAAUGUUGGGGAAGAUGAGAACACCUCAGAAACCACAAUUGAAGAAUUCCUAGGACCCCCAGGAAAGGGGCACAUCCAGAAAGGAGAUAAGAUCAGAAGCCUUUAUUUCCACUAUUCAGCCACUCACUGCCUGAGACUUAACUUCAUUUCAAGUAAGGGGAUAAUAUUUGGCCCUUAAGUAUCUUACAAGGGUUUUGUUUUCCCUAAGAGAAAAAAAAUUAGGUAAGAUCAUAAGUAAGAAAGGAUUUUUUGAAUUAAAAAUAUAUGCAAAUGCAAGUUAUAACAAUUUUUGUUCUGGAUAUUUUUGCAGUAGAUAGAAAAGUUCUUUGUGCUGUGGCCACCUGCCUAAUGCUGUUGACUGGCUGGUAAUAGAUGCCUGGGAGUCAUUUUGAGGUUACUUAGAGCCUCUUUCCACCACCAGAUGGAAGGAAAUUGGGCAACUUCUUGAGUAAUUGGCUCUUCUGACUCACGUUUCUUGCAUUGUGACCUGGGUGCUACCCAGGAUGAGCAAGGAAUUUCCUCUCUGGAGUUGUUUAAGGAAUAGCCCAAACAUUCAGCUUCAUCUUUUUUUAAUGCCGCCUCUAACACUACCUGAGCAGCCACAGAAAAGUAUUUGCUGCUGCAGUAUUUUGGAUCAGCUGAAAUAUAUUUUGAGUAUGUACUCUGGGAAAGGCACAGAAUACCAUUUCUUUACUGAGAUUCUC